GGUAUAGAUAGAAUGGCUGAGUAUAAGUAUUAGACUGUAAAUCUAAGCACAAAGGUUAAAAAAUCCUUUUUCUAUCA
rnacentral:tRNA from 1 species